GCCCAGCAGGCGCGAAAACUUCGCAAUGCGCGAAAGCGCGACGAGGGGAUUCCAAGUGCAUGCACUAAGUGUAUGCUUUUCGUGAGUUUAAAACGCUCACGGAAUAAGGGCUGGGUAAGACUGGUGCCAGCCGCCGCGGUAAUACCAGCGGCCCUAGUGGUGAUCGUUAUUAUUGGGCCUAAAGCGUCCGUAGCCGGUCCGGUAAAUCUCUGGGUAAAUCGUUGGGCUUAACUCAGCGAAUUCUGGGGAGACUGCUGGACUUGGGACCGGGAGAGGUCGGAGGUACUCCAGGGGUAGGGGUGAAAUCCUGUAAUCCUUGGGGGACCACCGGUGGCGAAGGCGUCCGACCAGAACGGGUCCGACGGUAAGGGACGAAGCCCUGGGGCGCGAACCGGAUUAGAUACUCGCGUAGU
rnacentral:rRNA from 1 species